AUUGAACGCUGGCGGCAGGCCUAACACAUGCAAGUCGAGCGGAUGAAGGGAGCUUGCUCCUGGAUUCAGCGGCGGACGGGUGAGUAAUGCCUAGGAAUCUGCCUGGUAGUGGGGGAUAACGUCCGGAAACGGGCGCUAAUACCGCAUACGUCCUGAGGGAGAAAGUGGGGGAUCUUCGGACCUCACGCUAUCAGAUGAGCCUAGGUCGGAUUAGCUAGUUGGUGGGGUAAAGGCCUACCAAGGCGACGAUCCGUAACUGGCCUGAGAGGAUGAUCAGUCACACUGGAACUGAGACACGGUCCAGACUCCUACGGGAGGCAGCAGUGGGGAAUAUUGGACAAUGGGCGAAAGCCUGAUCCAGCCAUGCCGCGUGUGUGAAGAAGGUCUUCGGAUUGUAAAGCACUUUAAGUUGGGAGGAAGGGCAGUAAGUUAAUACCUUGCUGUUUUGACGGUACCAACAGAAUAAGCACCGGCUAACUUCGUG
rnacentral:rRNA from 1 species